AUCAGGUUGAUAGGUCUGAGGUGGAAGUGUGGCGACACAUGGAGCUGACAGAUACUAAUCGAUCGAGGACUUAACCUAA
rnacentral:rRNA from 1 species